rnacentral:misc_RNA from 1 species
UCUCCGUUGGUGAACCAGCGGAGGGAUCAUUACAGAGUUUUCACAACUCCCAAACCCAAUGUGAACCAUACCAAACUGUUGCCUCGGCGGGGUCACGCCCCGGGUGCGUCGCAGCCCCGGAACCAGGCGCCCGCCGGAGGGACCAACCAAACUCUUUUCUGUAGUCCCCUCGCGGACGUUAUUUCUUACAGCUCUGAGCAAAAAUUCAAAAUGAAUCAAGACUUUCAACAACGGAUCUCUUGGUUCUG